UGAGGAAUUUUCGGCAAUGGGCGCAAGCCUGACCGAGCAACGCCGCGUGCAGGACGACGCGUUUCGGCGUGUAAACUGCUUUUCUGUGGGACGAGCAAGGACGGUACCACAGGAAGAAGCCCCGGCUAACUACGUGCCAGCAGCCGCGGUAAGACGUAGGGGGCGAGCGUUGUCCGGAGUUACUGGGCGUAAAGGGCCCGCAGGCGGAAGGGUGCGUUUGGUGUGACAGCUCGUGGCUUCACUACGAGAGGAUACCAAAGACGGCCGUUCUUGAGGGCCAGAGAGGGACCUGGAAGUCCGGGUGGAGCGGUGAAAUGCGUAGAGAUCCGGAGGAACACCGAAAGCGAAGGCAGGGUCCUGGCUGGUACCUGACGCUCGUGGGCGAAAGCUAGGGGAGCGAAC
rnacentral:rRNA from 1 species